rnacentral:rRNA from 1 species
CAGAACCCAAAGACUUUGAUUUCUCAUAAGGCACUGAAGGAAGCAAUCUAAGAGUUCUAAUCUCCGGAGAGAAAAGAAAAACUCUUAUUUUAAAAUCUUUCAUCCAAAGCCUAGUCGGCAUAGUUUAUGGUUAAGAUUACGACGGUAUCUGAUCGUCUUCACUCCCUUAACUUUCGUUCUUGAUUAAUGGAAGUAUUUUAGGCAAAUGCUUUCGCAGUUGUUUGUCUCCAGAAAAUCUAAGAAUUUCACCUCUGACAUCUGAAUACAAAUGCCCCCAAGCUACUCCUAUUAAUCGUAACUAAGCCAAAAUAAGAAAAAAGAACAAAAAAAUUCUGACUUGUUCAAUUUUGUUAUUCCAUGCUGUAGUAUUCAAACGCACAAAUGCUAUAUCUGUUUGCUUUGAACACUCUAAUUUACUCAAAGUAACAAGAUCAUCAAAAAAAAUUAUGCCGAAGCAAAUUUUUAAUAGAUGAAUCUUAAAAAGAAUCAUUUUAAUUAAAAGAACACAUAAUAGCUAAAAUGCGCACAAAGUCGAUACGCGGAGGCAUCAGUUAUGUGGAUUUAUAGCUAGAAGCGUUACUUAAAAUAUCGAUUCUUUGAAAUUCAACUACGAGCGUUUUAACUGCAACAAUUUU